GUGAAAGCUGAUUGUUUUAAUAUCGUAACUGCAAGUAGAGUCCUUGAUUAUGUUUGAGUUUAAUUACUAGUAAAUCUUGAAGUUCAGGAGUCAGUAUGUGCACUGUGUGGUCUCUUGAGAGAAUCUUCUCUGAUGACGUAAACUAUGAAGGAGAAAGACACGAAAGGAUCAUGCUAAAUGAAUCUCUAGAUUGUUACAGAGUUGGAAGGGCACGAUAUAAUGAAAUCAAUUGCCUAUCAAUGUAUGU